GCCUUGGUAGCUUAGUUGGUAAAAAGCACCAGACCAUGAAAGCUGAAGUCCCAGGUUCAAGCCCUGGCCAAUGCA
rnacentral:tRNA from 1 species